rnacentral:lncRNA from 1 species
UUCAUAAAGGCAUUUGGACCUGAAGCAAAUGACAUGGAAAUCAUUUGCCUCCUCCUCUUUCUCCAGUGCUCCUUUCUCAUUCUGGAACCUAUGAAAUCUGGUAAAAAAUGAACCUCAAAGGGAGUGAAAGAGUGAAAGAGGUGACGAGACGAGAAGAGGGAGGAGAAGAAAGGGGAGAGACAGUUCUUCCUGUUUUGUUUGACCAGAGGCCAGAUGGAGAGUGACAACAUCCCCAGAGAAGAAAGAAGGCAGAUUGGAGAAGUGGGAGAGAAAGGUUUUGCAGCCAACACAGAAUUGAUACCAAGAGGAACAAGAAGUCACCUUCAGGAAAGAGAUUUGGAACCCAGGCCACUGAUAGCUGGGAUCAAAACUCAUCAGGAAAUUUUGCAGCAUCUGGAUGUGAGUUUGGUGGACUAAUGCUAUGCAAAGAUUGAAUGAAAUUUGAUCACACUCUUCCUAGAGACUAAUGUAGUAUGGCGGAGAGUGUGCCCAUGAGGUGUUGUAGAGGGAAGAUUUUUGUUCUUUUGUUUUCAUUAUGACUUUGGAGUAAAUAUAACAUUUGUAAAAGCUAAUCAGUGUUACAUGGUUAACUAAAGUAGAUACCUAACGCUGAUGCCUAACAGUAAGAACAAAACUGGUUGGGACUUGAGCUGAUGGCAUUAGAGCAGAGAUACUUCAAAACUUUCAGAGUACCCCGAUAGACCUGAGUUAGGAUAUAGCUGUCUGGCUCUGAUCAGAAGGUAUUUCAUACACAUAGUUUCCUUUCUCUGUGAAUAAUGUCCCAAUUCACAAAGUUACAGUUGGGAACUUUGAAAGAAAAGUUUCCUCUUAAUGGACAGAAGACAAAGUUUCCCCUCAAAACUUAGCUGGAGGAGUCAGGAUAGGAGAAAUAAGGGUGGGA